AAUCAACGCUGGCGGCGUGCCUCAGACAUGCAAGUCGAACGAUUAAGACUCUCUUCGGAGAGUGUAUAAAGUGGCGCACGGGUGAGUAACACGUAGGUAAUGUACCGAAGGGUGGGGAAUAACUUAGGGAAACUUAAGCUAAUACCGCAUAAUGCAGCGGCUCGACAUCGAGACAGUUGUUAAAGGAGCAAUCCGCCUUUUGAGCAGCCUGCGGCAGAUUAGCUAGUUGGUAAGGUAAUGGCUUACCAAGGCUACGAUCGUGUAACCGACCUGAGAGGGUGGUCGGUCACACUGACACUGAAUAACGGGUCAGACUCCUACGGAGGCAGCAGUCGGGAAUUUUGGGCAAUGGGCGAAAGCCUGACCCAGCAACGCCGCGUGAAGGAUGAAGUAUUCGGUAUGUAAACUCGUAAGAAUAGGAAGAAUAAAUGACGGUACUAUUUGUAAGGUCCGGCUAACUACGUGCCAGCAGCCGCGGUAA
rnacentral:rRNA from 1 species